UUUAAUAUAGCAUAAUACUAAUGCGGAGAAUUUAAGCUUCUCAGAUUUUUAUUAAAA
rnacentral:tRNA from 1 species